CCUACGGGUGGCAGCAGUGGGGAAUAUUGCACAAUGGGGGAAACCCUGAUGCAGCGACGCCGCGUGAGUGAAGAAGUAAUUCGGUAUGUAAAGCUCUAUCAGCAGGGAAGAAAAUGACGGUACCUGAGUAAGAAGCCCCGGCUAACUACGUGCCAGCAGCCGCGGUACUACGUAGGGGGCCAGCGUUAUCCGGAUUUACUGGGUGUAAAGGGGGCGUAGACGGGAGUGCAAGUCUGGAGUGAAAGUCGGGGGCUUAACCCCCGAACUGCUGUGGAAACUGGACGGCUUGAGUGCAGGAGAGGUAAGCGGAAUUCCUGGUGUAGCGGUGAAAUGCGUAGAUAUUAGGAAGAACACCAGUGGCGAAGGCGGCUUACUGGACUGUAACUGACGUUGAGGCUCGAAAGCGUGGGGAGCAAACAGGAUUAGAUACCCGGGUAGUC
rnacentral:rRNA from 1 species